GACAUAGGUGGCAAAUGUUAUCCGGAAUUAUUGGGCGUAAAGGGUGCGUAGGUGGUUUAAUAAGUUACUGGUGGGAAAUCGGGGCCCAACCCCGUGGAAGUUAGUAAUACUAUUAGACUAGAGGAUCGGAGAGGUUAACGGAAUUCUAUGUGUAGCGGUAAAAUGCGUAAAUAUAUAGAGGAACACCAAAAGGCGAAGGCAGUUAACUAUUCGAUUCCUGACAUUGAGGCACGAAAGCGUGGGGAGCAAGACGG
rnacentral:rRNA from 1 species